rnacentral:piRNA from 1 species
UCUGAAUGUCACUGUGGAGAUUCCGCUGU